CCCUUCUUAGCUCAGUCGGGAGAGCGCGUCGCUAGGAUUAGAUUGGGAAACCUGGCCACUGCAUAUUCUAACGCGAGGUCAGUCGUUCAAGUCGAGUAGAAGGAC